rnacentral:lncRNA from 1 species
GAGUGUGCUUUCUUGAUCAGCACAUUGAAUACUUGCAUACAUGGCCAUACCACACUCUGACAUUCAACAUUAUCUCAUAUCUGCCCAUGUUCACUCUCAACUUUGCUGAAUGCUGAACAAGUAUAGACACUAUGUAUACCUCCCUCACUGAAUCCCAGGCCAAUACUUAGCAUGAGGCAGGCAUCCAACAGCUAAGUAUAAACAAUCUCUAGUACUAUAUUUGUAGUAUUAUAGUGAGCUAAUCUGUGAGAAAAACACUCCCGAGGAGCUAAGUGUACAGUGACAGGACCAUUGCUGCUACAAGAACACAUGGUACUUAAGAACUGCCUCUCUUAACCACACAGCAGCCCUAGGAGGCUUAGAAGUCAAACAAUUGAGGUGCACACUCUAGUGGCCCAUUGGCAGCUGAUCCAGGCUAAUGAACUCAGAUACUUAAGAUCCCACCAAUACUUUCUAGCUGUGUGGCUAUAACUGUGAUUUAAAAGAACUGAUUUGGAUGAACCUUCCUUCUCCUCUCUGCUCAUAGUAGCAAGUUCCUCAGUGGGAACCCAGUCUUCAUCUCACCUAUGAGUGUGGCAUUCCUGACUUCCUGACACCAAUCCUUCAGCUGCCUCUGCACAUGCUGUCCUGCCCACCUACCUACCCAGAAAAAGCAGAACUGUUGAGGCCAAGAACCUUCUUUAUACUGGGAUGGCACGGCAAGAAAGUCAACACCUGGCCCUGAGGUAGCUGUUGGGAGUAGCAUUUAGAUCCUUGAUAUGAGGUAUAUAUCUUUCACAAACCAGUAUCAAAAUCUACAUCCUAACUUUCAGCAAUUUAAAUGUGUUUCCAUAGCAACUGAGCCAAGUGCUCCUUAUAACAGUGGGGAAGGCAAGCACCACCUUAAGGUUCAAGCCACUAAAAAACUUCACACUCAUUUGCUUUUGUCCCUAAGUGUUUAGGGACAGACUGCAGCAUCUGUCUUCCGCUAACAACCUCUUUAGGAACUAACUUUAGUAAUAACAAUAAAAUGUCCACCUUCAAACAAACAUUAACUAGGCAUUAAACAAAGGGUAGAGUCUCAUGACGUUUGAAGUAUAUAUGAGGACAGUGUAACUGCCUUACUACUGUAUUUCAGGUCCUGACCUGCAAAAAUCAAACAAACACCAUAUAGCAUGGCAUUUUGUUUGUAAAAGAGCAUCACUUACUUCUGAAAACUGAUCUUUUAUAGAAGGCAGUUCCAGAAGUUCCCUCAGAGAGAGAUCAGAGAAGAUAGCUCUCAGGGCUCAUUUUAAGCAUGACAUGAACAGGCAAAAGAGACAGCUUUACUAACUCAACAAUCAUAACACAGUGAAAGAAUGGGUUUUCAUCUUUUUUGUAUUUGAUUUCUUGAGAUGAAUCUCACUCUGUGGCCCAGGCUAGCUGGGAAUCCUCCUGCCUCAGGCACAAGUGCUGUGGCAGCUACAUAUGACUACUUUCUCAUUCUGAAGUUGGUUGGGAGCGCUUAUUGACUCAUAUGAUAUUACAUUUUUUAUUUCUACACACCAGUUCACAUUUUAAAAAAAGACGGCUUUGUUCUUUCCAUCUACUCUUUACCCCUAAUUAUCAACCCAAUACUGACCGUCCUGAAGCUCCAGGCAGAGGUGCAAAUGCCCAAGUCACUGCCACAUUCCCUUAUGAUUCUGCAAUGUGAACAAUGAUCAUAGCCAAGGAGCAGGCCACAGACAGCAGGAUCACAAAGUGGAGGGCCCAUGGUGAGCUAAAUCUUACAGAAAGAGGUCUCAACUAAAACUUACACCAAACUCUCAAAGCUUUUAACCAUCUUUCUCAAAUCUCACCAUUGCAAGUAACGCAGUUAGUCUUUUCUAUUAAACCCUGUAAAAUUUAUGUUUAUGGCAAGAAAUUAAAAUAUCUUUAUCUCCUUGCCCUGUAAGACUUUUAUGCAAAUGUUGUACUCCUCUCUCUCAGGUUAAAAACAAACAAACAAACAAAAAACAAAAGAAUCUUUGCUUACAAAGGCUCUGCUGCAUUCUUAGAGCUUAAGUAACAUAGACAGCCCACCCUCCCCACUUUCCUUCAAUGUUCUUUACCCAAGCCUUCCCCCUCUUUGGAAAAUAAUUAUUACAAUUUUUAAUCUUUUGAAGUUAAAAUAUAGUUAUAUCAUUUCCCCCUUCCCUUUCCACUUGCCAAUUCUGCCCUUAAAACAAAAACAAACAAACAAACAAAAAUAACUAGCCAAUUUCAAAGACUACGAGGUCAGAAGUACCCAACCAUGGGGAAAAACACAGUAACCCCUGAGCUAGAAUAAAAACCAAGUGCACUUCUGCCUGGGUGCUCUCGCCUUCUUUAGGAGCAGCACAUGCUCUUGAUCGAGAGAAACCUUUGCCUUGUCAAGAUACUUUGAUUGAAGUGGCAGUCUCUUUCUUUGCAACCCCAAACUUAUUUCUAACAUCAUUAAAAAUAGCAGUGUCCAGAUGAAAACAAUGCUCAGUUUAGGGUCCUGAUUUUAUUUUAUUUUUUUGAGUCAUGGUCUCACUAGGCAGUCUUGGCUGGCCUGGAACUCAGAGAGACCAGCCUGCCUCUGCCUCCCAAGGGCUGGGAUUAAAGGAUGCAUCCAGCCGGGUCCUGAUUCUUCCUGACAACUAGAUGCUUUCAAGUUUACAAAGUAAAAGCCCCAAAAUUUGGGAAACAAAGUCUUCAAAUAAUGAGGCUUAAUACCAAUAAUGAGGCUUGAGAGCCCAAUGGGCUGACCUGGCCCCAUUGUGACGACAUGGCCCACGGUGAGGGAGGAAAGAAGAAACAUAGUCAGCCCAGACACCAACAACCAGGGCCUUCCUAGAUCCUUCCCAGCUGAAGAAACACAUGCUCAGUUUCUCUGAAGACCUUCAGUCCAGAUCUCACAGCAAGCCUUCCUCAUAUCAUAUCAACAUUCAUCUGCAGUUUGUCUUCUGUGUUCUGGUUCAAGAGUACUCGAUCAAAUUUGCUGUUUAUCAAUCAGGAAGACUAUAGUGUUAUAUAGUCUCAUCAUGUGAUCUAUUUGUCCUUCAUGUUAGCCAACAUUCACUUGAGUAUUGAUGACCUCAUCAUCUAGGCAAAGUUCCUUCCCCAGAGUAAUCGCCCAGGACUAUAGCAGCAGAGCACACAACUCCAUUCUGUUCCAUGGAGGUACUUGUCUCUAAAACCAUUAUAUUCUUCCUUUCUAUUUCAAUGCCAGUGUUGCCUGAUUGCAGUCUUGCUGGGUUGGCUUUGUAGGAUACUAAAAGUAGCUUGUAUCUGUAACCAUUUGGCCAGUGUGUGUAACACAAAAAGGGGGCAGGGGGAACCAGGCACAAGUGGGUAUAUCCAGAUGUGUUCCACAGAAACCAUGAAAAGCAGCAGCAUGGAGCAAUGCCACAAUGGAUGUUAACAUCCUGUGGGAAGUGGAAGGCUCACCUUCAUCCUCAAAGCAACAAAAUGAAAAAGACAAGGAUAAAUAGGACACACUCUCUGAACUCAAUUCACUGAGCUUGAUUCUUCCUGACCAACAUCACUGCCCUGAGAAUCUCUUAUUAAAGUCUGCUGGGUGGUGGAUGGGAGCUGAGUGAGACUCACUCCUACCCUACAAUUUAUUGGGAAGACUGACAAGAAAAGAGACAAUUGUAACACAGUGUGCAAGGAGACAGUGUGCCAGGAAACUGUAACAGGGUAACACAGUGUUACAGGAAUUUGUAACAAUGUGCAAGGAAACAGCAGGCAAGGACACUAACACAGCACAGUGUGAGGAAUGCAAGAGAGCACUUGUUAGGAGAUCAGGCAAGUGCAGGAAUAGGGUGGUUAAAGG